UCGAACGGUAACAGGUCUUCGGAUGCUGACGAGUGGCGAACGGGUGAGUAAAGCAUCGGAACGUGCCCAGUAGUGGGGGAUAGCUCGGCGAAAGCCGGAUUAAUACCGCAUGAGACCUAUGGGUGAAAGCGGGGGACCUUCGGGCCUCGCGCUAUUGGAGCGGCCGAUGUCAGAUUAGGUAGUUGGUGGGAUAAAAGCUUACCAAGCCGACGAUCUGUAGCUGGUCUGAGAGGACGACCAGCCACACUGGGACUGAGACACGGCCCAGACUCCUACGGGAGGCAGCAGUGGGGAAUUUUGGACAAUGGGCGCAAGCCUGAUCCAGCAAUGCCGCGUGCAGGAAGAAGGCCUUCGGGUUGUAAACUGCUUUUGUACGGAACGAAAAGUUUCUGGUUAAUACCUGGAGGCGAUGACGGUACCGUAAGAAUAAGCACCGGCUAACUACGUGCCAGCAGCCGCGGUAAUACGUAGGGUGCGAGCGUUAAUCGGAAUUACUGGGCGUAAAGCGUGCGCAGGCGGUGAUGUAAGACAGAUGUGAAAUCCCCGGGCUCAACCUGGGAACUGCAUUUGUGACUGCAUCGCUGGAGUGCGGCAGAGGGGGAUGGAAUUCCGCGUGUAGCAGUGAAAUGCGUAGAUAUGCGGAGGAACACCGAUGGCGAAGGCAAUCCCCUGGGCCUGCACUGACGCUCAUGCACGAAAGCGUGGGGAGCAAACAGGAUUAGAUACCCUGGUAGUCCACGCCCUAAACGAUGUCAACUGGUUGUUGGGAAUUAGUUUUCUCAGUAACGAAGCUAACGCGUGAAGUUGACCGCCUGGGGAGUACGGCCGCAAGGUUGAAACUCAAGGAAUUGACGGGACCCGCACAGCGGUGGAUGAUGUGGUUUAAUUCGAUGCACGCGAAAACCUUACUCACUUUGACAUGUACGGAUCUUUAGAGAUAGAGGAGUGCUCGAAG
rnacentral:rRNA from 1 species